UACGUAGGGGGCUAGCGUUGUCCGGAUUUAUUGGGCGUAAAGAGCGUGUAGGCGGCCAGGUAGGUCUGCUGUGAAAACUCGAGGCUCAACCUCGAGACGUCGGCGGAAACCAUCUGGCUAGAGUCCGGAAGAGGAGAGUGGAAUUCCUGGUGUAGCGGUGAAAUGCGCAGAUAUCUGGAGGAACACCGGUGGCGAAGGCGGCAUCCUGGACCGGUAUUGACGCUGAGGCGCGAAAGCUAGGGGAGCAAACGGG
rnacentral:rRNA from 1 species